rnacentral:misc_RNA from 1 species
AACUUUUGACAAUGGAUCACUUGGCUCUCGCAUCGAUGAAGAACGCAGCGAAAUGCGAUAAGUAAUGUGAAUUGCAGAAUUUCAGUGAAUCAUCGAAUCUUUGAACGCACCUUGCGCUCCUUGGUAUUCCGAGGAGCAUGCCUGUUUGAGGGUCAUUAAAUUCUCAACUCCGAUCGAUUUGUUUCGACCUCGGAGCUUGGACUUUGGAGCGUGCUGGCGUCGGUCGGCUCCUCUCAAAUGCAUCAGCGGAAUUUAUCGUUUCGGACGCCAGUGUGAUAAUCCCGUUGUGCUGUCAACCGAUCCUGAAAGCCCGCUCAUAAUUGUCUUCGGACAACUUCAUAUCAAAUUUGACCUCAAAUCAGGAAGGACUACCCGCUGAACUUAAGCAUAUCAAUAAGCGGAGGCU